rnacentral:rRNA from 1 species
GAUGAACGCUGGCGGCGCGCCUAACACAUGCAAGUCGAACGGCACCCCUCCUCGGAGGGAAGCGAGUGGCGAACGGCUGAGUAACACGUGGAGAACCUGCCCCCUCCCCCGGGAUAGCCGCCCGAAAGGACGGGUAAUACCGGAUACCCCGGGGUGCCGCAUGGCACCCCGGCUAAAGCCCCGACGGGAGGGGAUGGCUCCGCGGCCCAUCAGGUAGACGGCGGGGUGACGGCCCACCGUGCCGACAACGGGUAGCCGGGUUGAGAGACCGACCGGCCAGAUUGGGACGGAGACACGGCCCAGACUCCUACGGGAGGCAGCAGUGGGGAAUCUUGCGCAAUGGGGGGAACCCUGACGCAGCGACGCCGCGUGCGGGACGGAGGCCUUCGGGUCGUAAACCGCUUUCAGCAGGGAAGAGUCAAGACUGUACCUGCAGAAGAAGCCCCGGCUAACUACGUG